AGGAACUACACUGCUGGGAAGAGUUGUAUGUGAGAAAGCCACCCAGAACGUAUGGACUUUGGAAAUAUAAUAACAACAGUAUGAUUGCAACACAAGCUCUUAAUGGUGAUGAGCAUAAGUGGGUAGAUUAGGUGUAGAUGUAUGUUUACCUUUAAGCUAUAACAAUUGGUUAGUCUGAGGAGGAAAAACCUGAUGUGAGGGAAGGAAGGGAAGAAGACAAUCGCAUCUAUAGGGGCUGUGGAUCACCAGCAUUGCUGGAAGACAAACCAUUUCAAUUUAAGGAUGGAAAACUUAGCAUAUCUUCAAGGUUGUUGUCUUCAGUCAUGUUUCAAAAUCCGUCACUACUUUUCCACAGGUAUAGCUCAACAGUAAACAACAUUAGCCUAGAAAAUUCCCCUCCUGUCUGGAUCACUGAAUCCUGAGUGUACUCACCCAGAAAUCCAGGAGCUGAACUGAAGGCUGGUGGGCAAAUACUUUCCUGAAGAAGCAACACACAGAAACAAGACAGUUCAGGAAGUCCUACACAGCUGGUAGCCAUCAAUUAAGAAGACAAAUCCAGAAAACAAGAGGUCAAAGUGAAGCAAGGAGAAAAUUCUGGGAUCAAGACCAUGUUCCUUGCUGCCUUCCCUCCAAGCCCAUUGGCUGAUUUAUACAAACUAUCUCCUUUCCAAAACCACAUGACAAAACUGAGAAGACAGAGCUGCGAAUCCUGCUGCCUAGGACACACAGCAGCUUUUGAAUGAAGGGGGAAGAGGGUGACUUCUUGAAAGGUGAGAAGAUUUACUUUUCACUGCUAUGAGUAAAGUGUUUCAUAUGUUGUCAGUUUUCAUCUCAUUUUGCACCUGUCAUAAAUACUGUCUUUUCUGAGUAUAAAAGAAAACAUAGUGAUCAUGGAGAAAGGGAUAGAAGCAUAAUGGAAACAGACCAUCAGAAACAAAUUUUAAAAACAAUGCGAACAUGAGAAAAAACCUAGGAAAAGGAAGAAAACGUGCAUUACAUUCCCUGCCUUUUAAAAAUAUACAGCUUCCAUUCUGAGAUCAACUCCUAGAAAAUUAUUGAUCCUAUAACAGCAAGAGUGUUUUUGUUCAGAAUGAUUUCAGAAAAUUUGUUGAAUGAGCUAGGGGUGUGAAAUUUAUGUAAGCUAUUUGGAACACCAGCUAUCUUUAUGCUUUUGUAAAAUAGCUAGCCCAAGAUGUUUGUAAAUGUCUAGCCAGAUAAAUGGAGUUAUUUGGUGUAAUCUAAAAUGCAAAUAACAGUAGCAAAAAUAAUAAUAAAUAUCUCUGUACUGAACAGGAAUUUAA